ACAUAGCCUUGCCAAGCCCUGACUCACUUCCGCUCUCGCCCUCUUCUCCCCUCUGCCCACCACCCGCCUCGCUCCUCGUCAGCUGUGCUGCGCAGUGUCGACCGCCUUAUCGCUCUUUCUCCCGUUCACAUCCGUGUUGCCCUUGUCUGCUUUCGGCGUUGCGGAGCCGCGCAAAUGGCGUGCAACAUCAGUAUUGCCAUCUACAUCAUCCUCCAGUUCAUCGCGUUCUUUUUCGUGCUGGUGGGUACGCCGCUCGACAUGUUUCGCGGCACGAACAAGGAGGUUGCGUUCUCGCAUUUCUGCUUGACGUUGUGGGGCGCAAAAUGGGGCUGCUCCAACAGUUCGUACUUUCUCAAGUCGGACGAGGUGUGGACGAAUUGUACGGGCCGCCGCAACCGCUUCCGCGCUGCUCAGGCAUUGGCUGUGAUCUCCAUCUUCCUGUAUGGCGCGGCGUUCGUCUUGGGCAUCUUUUUUCUGCUCUGCUGCCCUUUCUUUCGCUGGGUGUGCCUGGUUCUCAACAUCGUUGGCAUCUUCUCCUUGGGCAUUGUCUGGGCGGCCGUGGUGUUGACUCACUACGCAGAUGAGGAUGACCAUUGCCCCAAGAUGGAGCGCUUCUUUAAGUUGGGCGUCGGCUUCGCUUUCUUCUUGGUGGCCUGGUGCCUGGAUAUCAUCAACAUCUUCUUAUUGCUGAUCCGGUGCGAGGAUCAGAAGUUUGGCGAGAGUGGGAAUCCGGGAUUAUAUACAACAGGCGGACAGGAGGAACUGAAGUGAAGGAGGUGGCGGGCAAACUACUUCGGCUCCGCGGGCUUCUCCGUACAGACGCCAUGGGGUGGGGGAUCCGGCGGAGCUGAUGUCUGCGCGAGAAGGGAGGGAAGACACGGACUCUCGUCGCUGCUUCUCGCCGCCUCACCUCUCGCGCUGCCGUCUCUCGCGUGUGUGCGUCCUCCCACGCGCGUCUGCUUGGGGGCUUUUCGGCUUCCUCGCGUGCAAGGUAACCUGCGCUGUGUGGUGGGCAACGCACGCCUGGCGCCGGCAGGCCCACCCACGCCCCGUUCCCCCCCCCUGAGCCCCUCGCCCUCGCUGCCGUGUCGGAGUCGCCCGUCUGACGCUCGCCCGGCGCUCCGUUGGCGAUGUGAAGGAGCGAAGGACGACGCGGGACGGUGACACGUGCGCUGCAGGCCUGGAAACGGCGGCGUGGAGGGGGAGCGAAGGAGGGGCAGGUGACCGAGGUGGACACGGAGGACAAACGUGGCGGUGUGGAGAAACGGACGCCCUCGCACGGAGGACGGGAGGCGCCACGCCACGCUGCAUCGGUCGCCCGCCCCCCUCCACACCCCGCAGUCGCGAUGGCGCGUCUUCCUGGUGUGUCUCCCUCGCGCCGCCUUUGGCCCCCGUCGCUGCCGCUGCGACUCCCCCGCGCCCCUGGCGGCACACCCGCGAGGGGAAGAGGCAGCACAGCGGCGCGAAGACGCAGGCCGAGCACAGUCUCCCCCGCACCCCCCCCUCCACACGCACGCGCAUAUGCUGCCGUUUUUUUCGUUUCUCUGUUCGUGCUAUCGCUUGAUUUGACAUUCGCAUGUUUCUUUCGAUUUCUCUCGUUUUCGUCUCUCUCCCUAUGCAG
rnacentral:misc_RNA from 1 species